rnacentral:pre_miRNA from 1 species
UUUAGACACAGUUAUUGGUUUUUAUGUCCAACGUUUUAUCGUCGCCUUAUUUAUUUUUUUUAAAUUAGUAUUUUUAUUAUUAUUAGAUGAUAAAACAUAAAUAAUAGCUUCAUACAUGACUAUAUAUAUAUAUAUAUUAAAUAAGACAAACGGUUAAACGUUGGACGUACGUGGAAUCUCGCGACUGUCUUAACA